rnacentral:rRNA from 1 species
AUUGAACGCUGGCGGCAUGCUUUACACAUGCAAGUCGAACGGUAACAGGCCUUCGGGUGCUGACGAGUGGCGAACGGGUGAGUAAUGCAUCGGAACGUACCCAGAGGUGGGGGAUAACGCAGCGAAAGCUGUGCUAAUACUGCAUGUGAUCUGAGGAUGAAAGCGGGGGACCGAGCAGCAAUGUUUGGCCUCGCGCCUUUGGAGCGGCCGAUGUCGGAUUAGCUAGUUGGUGGGGUAAAGGCCUACCAAGGCGACGAUCCGUAGCUGGUCUGAGAGGACGACCAGCCACACUGGGACCGAGACACGGCCCAGACUCCUACGGGAGGCAGCAGUGGGGAAUUUUGGACAAUGGGCGCAAGCCUGAUCCAGCAAUGCCGCGUGCGGGAAGAAGGCCUUCGGGUUGUAAACCGCUUUUGGCAGGAACGAAACGGUGUCCGCUAAUACCGGGCGCUAAUGACGGUACCUGCAGAAUAAGCACCGGCUAACUACGUG